AGACGGAACAUUAGUCUAAUCCUAUUUACAUAUUAGGGAGCCUGUGUAUUAUAAACAAAUUCCUGGAAGAAUCUAGUCAAGUUAAUCAUAAAUGUAUAUUCAAUUUCUGUUUAUAUCCCUAAGGUUGGUAAAAUCUGAAAGAAAGAGAUCACAAAAAAGAACAAAAUAAAUAAUAAUAAAAGCAAAUAUUAAAAGUCAUCUUGUAAAAUAUGCCAGCUUUAGAAGAGGUUCUCACAAUACCGAGAAAAAAAC